UUGGUAGUUAACUUUUGUGUUUUGAUGAUUAGGACCAAGAGCUUGUAAGUGAAGUAAAGUCUCUUGGCUUGCAUUUUCUACUAAAAAUGCAUUGGUUUAUAUGUAUAGUUCUAUUCCUAUUCUGAUAAGAGUAUCAGAAGUUUUGGAAUGAAGAGUUGCCAAUGGGGUGCUAGGAAAAGUUGCUUCAAAAUCUGAACAGUAUGUGAGAAUAACUCCUACCAACUUGAUUCGUCAAAGAUUGUUAUGUUGUGAAUUUAAUGAAGACAAAUGAUCUUGAACAGCUUGAUUUGCUCUCUGUUUCAACAAGCCUGCUUUAGAGUUGCACUAAUUCAUUCGCAGAUAAUUUCUUGGUGGACUUUUGAAGCUAGUUGGAACAAUAUGGUUCAGACAUUAGAGGCUAUAAGGGGUGGAGGAGGAUCCGUUAAAGUGGGUACAACUGGGACAAUCAGUGCCCUAAUGUCUAGAGAGAUAGAAUCCACAAGAUCUGAAUCUAAGACACCUUCUCUGUGCGCUUCGGUCCCUGUUGCAGCCGGUGAUGUUACUCCUAGAAAACUGAAACCCAGAACAUCAAUGGAUGAAGCAAGCAGCAGCGGAACAAGCAAUGUUAAAAAUGAUAAAGGCCCUGAAACAGUAAAGAAGGCGAAGCACUACUCUGGAGGAACUCAUCAAAUUCCAAUGCUUGCAGCUGAUAAUAUAUCGAUAGAAGGGACUCCAAUAAGACAAAAGCCCGUCAAAAAGGGGCCUGGUGUAGUUGAAAUCGUGGACAUAAAAUGUGGAAAUCCAGACAAGACAUGGGUUAACCCCAUAACAAAUCGUCUAAAGAAGCUUGGGUUCUCAAAACUAUCUGACAGCAUAGGCUAACUAAGGUGACUACCUCUUAAGAUCAGCCUUUAGAUUCCUGAACAGUGAUCAGCGAUUCGAGCUUGGAUUUGGAGAACCCACCAGUUGAAGCUGAGUUUGCAAGUUGUCGUGCAGGCUUGUUGGAGCUGCUCUGGCAACCCAUCUCAAGCCGGCUAAAGUACUCUAUUUCUUGCAUGAUGAGGGAUCCAACUGUACC